CAAACGGCAAUGACGGAGGAAAGUAAACCGGCGGAAACCGACAGGGAGGCCGGGGCGCAGACUGAAACCCCAGCCCGGCAGAAACCGGUCGAAGUUCCCUCCUGAGCCGCCCGGGGGAACGCUCUCCUUAGCGAGAGCCAGUAGUUCGGGCCGCAUCGCCAGCGUUAACCGGCGCUCCAAUCGUUCUGCCGGAUGGUAGAACCGUUGGGUUGAGUGGGCUGCUACACCGGCAGCCAAGCAGGGUGGUACCGCGGGAAAAUCCCUCCCGUCCCUUGA
rnacentral:ncRNA from 1 species